GACGAACGCUGGCGGCGUGCUUAACACAUGCAAGUCGAACGGUAAGGCCCUUCGGGGUACACGAGUGGCGAACAGGUGAGUAACACGUGGGUGAUCUGCCCUGCACUUCGGGAUAAGCCUGGGAAACUGGGUCUAAUACCGGAUAGGACUCCUGGCUUCAUGGUUGGGAGUGUAAAGCUUUUGCGGUGUGGGAUGGGCCCGCGGCCUAUCAGCUUGUUGGUGGGGUAAUGGCCUACCAAGGCGACGACGGGUAGCCGGCCUGAGAGGGUGACCGGCCACACUGGGACUGAGAUACGGCCCAGACUCCUACGGGAGGCAGCAGUGGGGAAUAUUGCACAAUGGGCGCAAGCCUGAUGCAGCGACGCCGCGUGAGGGAUGACGGCCUUCGGUU
rnacentral:rRNA from 1 species